UGAAUUGAAGUGUAAGGUUCACGAUAAGAUUUUGACUCCUAUUCUAAAGGUUCGAUUCCUUUCCUUUCAA
rnacentral:tRNA from 1 species